AUUGAACGCUGGCGGCAUGCUUUACACAUGCAAGUCGAACGGCAGCGCGGGCUUCGGCCUGGCGGCGGGUGGCGAACGGGUGAGUCAUGCAUCGGAACGUGCCCAGUCGUGGGGGAUCGCCCGGCGAAAGCCGGAUUAAUACCUCAUACGACCUUAGGGUGAAAGCGGGGGUCCGAAAGGCCUCGCGCUAUUGGAGCGGCCGAUGUCGGAUUAGCUAGUUGUUGGGGUAACGGCUUCCCCAGGCGACGAGCCGUACCUGGUCUGAGAGGACGACCAGCCACACUGGGACUGAGACACGGCCCAGACUCCUACGGGAGGCAGCAGUGGGGAAUGUUGGACAAUGGGGGCAACCCUGAUCCAGCCAUGCCGCGUGCGAGAAGAAGGCCUUCGGGUUGUAAACCGCUUUUGUUCGGGAAGAAAUCCUCUGGGCUAAUACCCCGGGGGGAUGACGGUACCGGAAGAAUAAGCACCGGCUAACUACGUG
rnacentral:rRNA from 1 species